UACGUAGGGCGCAAGCGUUAUCCGGAAUUAUUGGGCGUAAAGAGCUCGUAGGCGGUUUGUCGCGUCUGCCGUGAAAGUCCGGGGCUCAACUCCGGAUCUGCGGUGGGUACGGGCAGACUAGAGUGAUGUAGGGGAGACUGGAAUUCCUGGUGUAGCGGUGAAAUGCGUAGAUAUCGGAAGGAACAUCAGUGGCGAAAGCGACUUCCUGGACCAGUACCGACGUUCAGGCACGAAAGCGUGGGGAGCAAACAGGA
rnacentral:rRNA from 1 species